GACCAUGUGGCCUAAUGGAUAAGGCGUCUGACUUCGAAUCAGAAUCAGAUUCGAGUCCCUUCAUGGUUC
rnacentral:tRNA from 1 species